GAGAGAAUAAGAAACACUCACCAUGAUGCUCCAUUCUGUAAUUCUGCUUUUUGUCUUUUCGUAUGCAACAUAUGGAAAUGAAAUCAAACCAACCAAAACAGAGGAGUUUGCUGAUGAUGGUUCAAGUGUUAAAUUAUCCUGCAGUUAUUCAUCUGCAUAUACUCUGUACUGGUAUCGUCAGUAUCCUGGAUCAGCUCCUGAGUUCAUUGUGCUCAUCUUAGACAGUGCAAAACAAGCUCAGGAGUCUUAUGUAGAUUCCAGAUUCACUGCCAAAGUCACCAAAGACAAAGAAAACCUUGUGUAUCUGGAGAUCUCCUCUGCAUCUAUAUCAGACUCUGCUCUGUACUACUGCGCUCUGGAGCCCACAGUGACAGGAAACACAAGAACACUGUACAAAAACCUGAUACACAGCAUUGCAUCUACAUCACACAUAUCCAACCUCCAUAUCUGCUAUAGGUAA